AUCAGGCCCCCGACCACACGCUGCUUUAAAUAACCCUGGCGCGCAGGUGCUGUUCUCUUUGUGCGGUGAAGUUGCGGUAGGCUGUGGUGUCUUGUAGUGUGUCUGGCGACUGCUGCCGCAAAACCUUCCUCUACCCAGAGGAAAAGGCCCUGCGUCAGCUUUGCACAGCUGCAUGCAUACAGGUACCUCGGGGCCCUGCUGGGUGAGGAGACCUCAGUCUCGGGCUGAGCAGGAUGAACUACCACUACAGACUAGAGUUUCUGAUGUGUCUGUGACGCCACUGCUUGGAACUGACCCAGCCCGGGACCGGCGGGGCUCCGCUGGAGUCGCCCCGGCUUCUCCCGAAUAACUGGUUUUUUCCCAGGUCCCUGUUCUCCGCAGACAGGUCCACAGCACCACGAGGGGUUUAAAGACGUCCACUGGUGUGUUACCUUGGAUAAAGCAUGAGAGCUCGGAAAGCCCAGCCAGGGGCAGUGCCCCUUCAGAGAUGGGGCUCUAACCUGGCAACUGAAGGGCUAAAGGUUUGUGUUUGUCCUUGGAGAAUUGCUGCUGAGAUGGCUGAAUUGCCUAGGUGAUGGUUCCCGCCACAUCUACUGGCUCUGACAAAAGUGAAGAGCCACGCCCCUUCUCCCUGGCUUACUAUAGAUUUUCCUGACACAAAGGAUGUACUCUGAUGAGCAGAUCUAGGAGUCUUAAGUCUUUCGUGCAUUAACCUGUGUGCGCAACGUCAAUUUCCUGGGGGAAAAACUGCCUAGAACCACAAGACUUGAUUUUGUCAAAAGGAUUCCAAUGAAAUAUCUUAUAAAGCAAGUAAAAAUACAGAUUGGUCUGGGUGAAAACAAGAUUGUACAAAAGGUUUAGAGACGUGAAAAGUAACAUUGUCAUAGUGGAUAGCUGUGCCUCUUUAAGUUUCUAUGACGUAAACCUGAACAGUAACAGGAAUCUAAUUUGUCUUUUGAUGGAUCAGUGAAAACGUCAUCCAGAUAAAUUUUUUUAAUGUGAUACUGGUAGUUGCUAGGGAAUAGGGAGUUGAGGGGUAUAAAAUUUCAGUUUUACAUGAUGAAAAGUAAGUGGUGGUAACGAUUGUCCAGUAUUCAUGUAUUUACCCACUGAACUGUAUUAAAAAUGGUGAAGUUUUAUGUGUAUUUCACAACAAAAAAGAUAAGGAUGGGGGUGGCAUAUCCAUACUCUUUUUUUUUUUUUUUUUGGUCACUGUCCCAAAGGUGGUUCCCCACCAGCAUGUACAGAUUUAUGCUGCUAUAAGACUACUAUAAAUUUCCCAGUUUCUGGUAGGAGCCAUUUAGGUUUCUGUGUACCAUUGUUGAUACUUAGACCCAUUUGACGUGUUAUAGAUACAUUUCCAGAAAAAAUUUCAAGAAUCAAAGGAGUUUGGCAUUUAAAACUUGAUGCAUAGUGCUUUCAUAACGUUGUACCAGUGUCUACUCAGUGUCAGUGUCAGUCUGAAGAUACCUGUUUUUCCAGUACCUGCCAUCACUGCUCCAGGUGGUAAUACUUAGAGCAGAAUUUUGUGUACCUGUUCACUUAAAUGCAUUUCUUCAUCUAUUUUCCUACUGAACAUUUCCAGCUUGGUCCCCACCACUUGAACUCAUCAGCAAAUAUUUUUUUUCAGUGUUAAUUUUCCUUAAUCACCUUUGCUAUUUAUCCCCCCUUGAAAUUACCUUUUGUAGUAUUCCUAGAAGAUAGGGUCACCUGUUUGCAUUGCUGUUCUCCGAUUUAGGAUUUGAGUCCUUGGCCCAAAACUUGAGGAUUAGCUCUGUUUAAAAGGAACUUGUUCUCUAAACUUGGAUUAAAAUAGACAAUAUUUUGUAUUAGAACUCUUAAAAUUCUACAGUUGGACUUCUGUUUAUUCUUAUAACAAAAACCAAACUAAUCUGUUACCAGUUCAAGUUAACUUUUGCAAAGGGAAUUGGGACUGGGCUGGAAUGGGGGUAGGAGGAGACUUGGGCUUUUUCCUCCUUGGAUUUCUGAAUUGUUGCCACUAAGAGUGUACUGUUUUAUGAUUGAAGGUCCCAUGCACAUAAUUAUUUUUGGUUUUUGGACAUACAUUUAUUUGCCCCACUUUACAGGCAAGGAGAGGAAGGUUCAAGGAGGUUAAGUAAUUUAAGGUCAGAGAUACGGAGUAUCCGGAUUCAAAUUACUGUCUCCAGUGUUCCCCACUUUAGAACGUUACCAGUAACUGAAGCAAACCUUGCUUUUGAUUCAGUUUCCUUCUCCAUCCCACUCAGAGGAAACCACUUAGCUGGACUGUGGCUGUUAAACGCCCUGGCUUUUCUUUAUAGUUUUACUCUGCAUCCCUGAACAAUAUAUUUAGUAUCUUUUUGAACUUGAUAAAUGCUGAUUAAUUCAUGUAAUUCUGCAACUUUUUUUUCAUGUAUUUUCCUGUAAAUUUAGAUUCCACCCUUCCAUACACAUUUCUGUCCAUUUUUAUCUUGAAAAAAACACCUUAAAACCUGUGUAUUUUUUAAGGUUGAUGGCUAUCCCUGUGUAGUAGGCUUCUGUUUGUAAGUGCAUUUUUCUAGGGUGACACGGAACUGGUGGAGUUUCUGGGGCCAGAUUAUGCAGUUAAUAGCUAACUUGGGGUAAGUUACUUAGCCACUUUAACAAUUUUCUCAUUUGUAAAUGUGUAAGAGUACAUAUGCUUAUGAGUUAACAAAUACAUGUAAAUGUAUGUAAAACUGCUUAGCACUUAGUAAGGCCUAUUUAGGUAAUAGCUACAACUGUGUUAUUCCAAAUAGCUUAGUCAUUAACUUGGUCUAGUCAGCACCUCACCCAUCCUUCCAAAUCCCUGACAUGGCUGUUAGAUGACCAACUUCACCUUGACCCUAGGGUCUCAUCUGUAUUCUUUUACCCUUAUUUGUAUUGUCCAAGUCCUCCCUUGGUUGGAGACCCUUCUUCUUAUGCCAGCCCCAAGUUCAGUGUAUAAGACUGAGCUACAAUUAUGGUGCAGAUGUUACAUGAACUUUUUUCUUGGCAUGGAAAUAACUUUCCAGUCUUCUGUCAGUCUUUCCUCCUAACUAGUUGACUUGGAGCGUAGACAGGCCUGUAUCUCAGCUACUGAAGACAGCUCCCAGGCCUUAACCCUGGAAUAGCAACCAGCCCAAUGUGUUAGCUCCUCCAGAUAACCCCUCCACCUUGCCAGUUGCUCAUGCUAGAGCCCUUUUGAGUCUUUUAGACUCGUGUUGUCACACACUAUCCAAUCAGUCAACAAAUGCUGUCAAUACCUUAGAAAUAAAAGUGCCUGUCAUCUCACACCAUUGCUACUGCACUCAGGUGGAGACCACUAGCCCACCUAGACAGCCUGCUUACAUGACUGCAACAGCCUCCCAGCAGUUCUGGCUUCCACCCUUAAACCAUUCUAAUCCAACAGCCAGAAGCUUCCUCAUGAUUUGGGUCUUGUCUCCCUCCCCUGCUUGAGUCAUGCAGUGGCUUCCAUUUCACUGUGCAAAAGCUGAAGUCUUUACAAGGACUGUCCAAUGAGUUCCCCUCAGCUCUGUUAUCUCUGGCCUCAUCUGCUCACCUCACUGCUGCAGCCAUAUGGCAUAAGCUAAGAACCAGUGGGUGCUCUUCUGUCAAUAGUUAGGCAGUGAAGUUCUUGCCUGUCGGCUGGGGUCACAGCCAUUGGCCUUGGUCUGUGGAGUAGACCUGACCUUGUGCCUACAGAAUCUGGAUGAAAUUUGGGUGAUAAAAUCCUCGAGCCAAGAGCUAAACUUAAUGACUGGGACAUUGCUUGUGGGAAUGGAACAUUACGUGAUCCCUUUGGAGAAGGGAUUGAUAAUACCUACUAGUGGGCAUAUUGUCUUCAGCCCAGUACUUCAACUCAUAAUAACACAGUGAACGAACAUGUAUAUAAGGAUUAAUGUACACAAAAGUCCUUGGUGAUAUUUUUGUAAUGGGAAAAGAAAACCCAAAUGUCCAACAGGAAAAUGGGUAAAUUAUGGUAUAUUAAAACAGUACCAUGGAGUGGUGUGUGUGAUUGUGCAACACUGGUAUGACUGACAUACCAGUGCAGAUUAACAAUGAAGGCAAGUCAGAAGAAUACAUAUAUGGUAUGCAAUGUUUGAAAACAUUUAUAGCCAAAUAAUGCGUAUUUCAGAGUUUAAUAUAGUAAAAGCGGAAAUGUACAGGAUUGCUAAUUGCUACAUUCAAGACAGUUCCCUGGGCUAUUAUAAGGAGGUGGGUAGGGAGAGUGAUGCAGUCAGAGGUGGACACGGGGGAUCCAUAAGUGCCUUGUAUUUUUCAUAUUUUUGUACAUCUGAACUAUUAACAUGGUUUGGAACCUGUGAAUCCCCAAAGCAAAAGCUAAGUCAUCCUACAGGGACACCUGUAGACUCAAGCUCACAUGGAGCACUCUUGGGAGAGCCAAGAUGAGCUGGAAUCAAAAACAGGGCCAGACACUCCCAUGGGAACAAGUCCACAGGUAUAACAGGUGACUACAGCUUAGAAACUCAGGUAACAGCAUGCUAGAGUUUGAAGAUGUGUCUAGGGAGGAAAGAAUUUGAUGCACUGGGCAUGACAGCAUCAAAAAAGAUUAGGUGGAUUUAGAACAACAUGAAAUACAGAAAUUCAAGAAGUACAAUAAACGGGCCAAAUAAACCCAACUGAAUAGAGAAUUAGUGAAUUACGGGAAGAAAUAUGUGGAGCAGUGAAAAUGCAGUACUAUGAGAAGGAUAACAUCAAGGAUGAAAGCAGAUGUUCCAACCUCUGGCAGUGUUGUUGCUGUCCUUGCCUUCCUGGGUCAUCACUGCUGCUGCACUGGCAAGUGGGGUCACCCAGCUUUGAGCAGCUCAAAGCCAUCUGUUAGUCUGGUUAUUGUAGUACUUCAUCUAUUAACAUCCUACUUUACCAUGAUUAUCUUUUGAUUGUUGUAUUAUCUCCCAAAGAGUGAAGGAACAGAUUAUCCUAAGGGUUAAAGUAUUUGCUGACUCUUAAAAUUGUUCAUUGUUAUUGUCUCCAGACAGGUGAACCUCAGGUAGAAGUGUGUCACAUUCUAGGCAGGCCUUUGCCUGUCCUUAAACCUUUAAAUUCCAAAGAAUGUAAUGAAGACAGAUGUCAGCCAGUAAUCCCCAGUUAAAAGCCAAUACUAGGUAGUGAACUGCCUUGGGGAGCUGUCCCUAACGGCCUGGCAACAACGGAAGUUACUCCCACAUCAAGAGGCCUGCCAUUUCCUAGCAGCACACAAGAAUUGGCUGUGCUUCACCAUGGGUUGGUUUCUAAAGGAGGUUGAGCAACUCUUGAAAAAUGACUUCAAGCUUAUUAUGAAACAAAACGGAAAAUAGUAUAAAGAGCACCCAUAUCCCCACCACUUAAAUCCAAAAACUGUCAACAUUUUUCCGGAUUUGAAAAUAUGACAAAAUGUAAGUUAUAUGUGUGUGUAUAUAUAACAUUUGGCAGGCUCAUUUCAAAGUGAAUUACAGAGAACAUUUUAUCACGAAGUCAACAUGCAUGUCUACAAUAUGAGGACAUUAACCUACUUACCACAAUACUAUUAGCAUACCAUGAAUAGGAAUUCUUGAUAUUAAUGCUUAAUUUUAUUUAAAAAAUUUAAACUUCCUAAACUUUUAUGGUGCUUGUUUUAUUUUAUUUUGGUAUCAUUAAUCUACAAUUACAUGAAUAUUAUGUUUACUAGGCUUUCCCCUUCACCAAGUCCCCCUCACAAACCCCAUUACAGUCUCUGUCCAUCAGCGUAGUAAGAUGCUGUAGAAUCACUAUUUGUCUUCUCUGUUGUUCGGCCCUCCCCGUGCACCACCCCUCUACACAUUAUACCUGCUAAUUGUAAUACCCCCUUUCUUUUUCACCGUGGUGCUUGUUUUUUAAAAAGAGCCGGUAUCCAAUUGAGGAUCAAGCCCUUCAUUUUACUAUUACAUCCUAUUGGUCUUUUGAUUCUAGGACAACCUCCUUGUUUUUGUGAUACUGCCCUUUAUUUAUUGAUACAAUCUUAUAUUAGUUUCAGGUAUACAACACAGUGGUUCAACAGCUACCCAUAUUAUUAAAUCCUCACCCCCACUGGUACAGUUACUGUCAACAUAGGAAGAUGUUACAGAAUCAUUGGCUAUAUUCUCUAUGCUGUGCUACUACUCCUGUGACAGUUACAUUAUUGAGAAUUUUUGUGCCCCUUUAUCCCCCUCCCCCUCUCCACCCCAACCUCUCCCCCAUAUGAUACUGCUCUUCUGAAGAGACUAGGCCAGUUGCAGAAUGUUCCAUAUGUUGGCUUCGUCAAACUCAUGUUUUUAACUUUUUCCUCAGUCUUCAGCAUUUUUUAUUUGAAGUAUAGUUUAUAUAUAUUGGUUUCAAGUAUACAGCAGAGUGAUUAAACAGUUACACACAUUAUUCAGUUUUUACCCUAACUAGUGCAGUUCCUAUCUGUCAACAGAAAAAAACUGGAGUUAUACCUACAGGCCUAAUUAGAUUCUGGUUACAUAGUUUGGGCAAGACUAUUUCAUGAAUGACACUGUAUUACUUACCUGUGGCUAUUGUAAAAAAUUGCUACAAACUUGGUGUUUUAAAACAACAGAUGUUUGUCACGUGGCAAUUCCUGAUGCCGGAAGUGGAGAAGUUUCACUGGGCCAAAAAGCCCCUGUAGCUGUACUAGGAGAGAAUCCAUUCCUUGUCCCUUCCAGCUUCUGGUGGCAUCUGGCAUUGCUGACAUGUGGUCACCUUGCUCCAUCCUCUGCUGUUGAGUCAUGUUACCUCCUCUUCACUGUGUAUGCCAAUCUUCUAUCCCCCUUUUAUAAGGCCAUAUGUGAUUGCAUUUAGGGCCCACCUGGAUAACCCAGGAGAAUCUCCCCAUCUCAAAAGCCUUAAUUUAAUCUCUUCUUCAAAGACCUCCUUUUUCCCUACAUAAGGUAACAUUCAGGUGCCAAGGAUUAGGAUAUGGCUAUCUUUUAGGAAAUCAUUUUCAGUCUACCAAGUGCUAUGUAUGUCACAGGGCCUCAUGUCAGGGGGAUCAUAAUGUCUACUUGUCCUAUUUAAUUUCAGUUUGAGCACUUGGUUAAAGUGUUAAACCCCUGCCUCCUCCCAGAUCUCUAUUGUAGAGAUACUUUCCCUACAUGUGAAUGAAUAUCCAGUUCAUCAACCUUUAACCUAAUAAUUUAGCAUCCAUUGAUGAUCUUUGUGUAGGAGUAGAAAAAGUUUUCCUUAACCCUCUUAGGUCCCUGGCUAGGUCUGAAAAUUAACCCGACAGACAGAUGAACAGCAGAAAAGCAUACACAUUUAAGUUUUAUGGGACACAAGAACUAUUAUAAGGAAAUGAUGCAAAGAAAUACUGAAUGUUUUAUGUUCAGUUGAACAGAGGCAAUUGCAGAAGAGUGACUAAGCUAUAUGGGGAGGCUAAAGAAAAUCACAACUAUUUUAACAAAGUCUGUUUAUGUAUAGAGUUUUCUUUGUCUCAACUUAUCUUCCUUGAAAAUAGCAGUAUCUUCCUUUCUCCUGGUACAGGGAGGACACCUUUCACCCUAGGCUUUGUCUCCUGCUUUCAGGAAGAAAAAGGAGGGUCAAAGUGAGCUCCUUUCACUGGCUGUUUCUCAAGUGCUUUAACUCAAAAUAACAUUCCAGAGAAGUAUGUUUUGGUGUGACAUGUUAUGAACUCCUUCACUUGAGUUAUUUCAAGUUUGCAAAGUGAUGACUUUCCAAUUUGGUUAUUCCUUCUACAGUUAUUUGCUGACAUUCUUCUGUAAAGUAUAACUCAUCAACUGGUACUUUACCUAACCUGAAUCACUUGUUCUACAGCAAAGGUAGGAUUAAUGAUUCAUUUACAGUAUUGUGUGCAUAAGGAGUCAGUGUAAAAGUCCCCUCCAAUGGUGGCAAGUGAAUUUUGCUGCCAUAGAAAAUGAAAAAAACCCUCUUGUAUACAUAGGUCCAGGAAAUGUCCCUGUGGUCCCUUUGACCUUAUCAAAUGCCUUGCUGAGAACCAGACUUGCUGAGACACUGGCCUUCCUCUGAUCUCUGCUUUUAGAACUGUGGCCAAGGAGCUGCCUCUGCAGUUGGCGUGACAUCCUAGUGACCCCAUGUUAGUUCCUGGGUGUUGCUCUCUACCAGACUCCCACCUCCAACAGCAAGGGCAUUUCAACACCUCCAGGGAAUAAAAAUAGCAGAACCAAACUUGAUGGAGGUUGAACAACACAAGUCCUUUAAAUUUAGCAAAAUUAGUGGGGCUUAAGAUACUGAAGCACAGAGCUGAUUCAGUGUCUUUACCCCUCCCUCCAACCUCACCCUCUCUUGGUGCAGGCUGAGAUCAUUCAUUCUGGGCACCACCUUUCUUGUGGCUCUAUUGUUGCCUAGUUACCCAGAAGUCUCCACUUAUUAUUUUUUCCACCUGUUUUGUUUGUUGUGAAGUAUAUAAUAUAUACAGAAUCUAUAUUCAAAAAAAAUAUAAUAUGUACAGAAAGCUUAAAAUCUGGUACUGCUGAACCUGUGGCUUACAGAUUUGGAGGCUACAAGAAAUGUGACUUCUGGCCCUAACCCCACAGGAGUGUAAACUUUGGUUAAGAAUUUUCCAGGUACUUUUCUUUUUCAUCUUUUUUCUUCUUUGCUCCAUCCAGAACAAAGAUGGAGGUCUGUUCACUCACUGGAAAUGUAGCCUUUUGUACUUUAUUUACAAAGAGAGGCAGCCAGCCUGUGAGCUGUAGUUUGCCAAUUUGAUGUUUUAAAAUAGUUCAGUAUUAAAUAUUUAGUAAAUAUUAAAUAUUAAAAUAUUUUUUACCUUGAUUUAAAUCAAGGUAAACACUCUGAUUUAACACUCUGAUUUAACAUCCAGGGCUUCUCAGGCCCAAGUAUUGCAUCCAAAAUAUUAGGAAAGGGAAGACCUAUCCUUUCAUUGUGGUAACUUGAGUGUUUUUAAGUUUGUUUUUCUUUUGUCAAAAAGAAGUGUAAGAUCUUGUCUUACAUGUUUCUUCCUAAUCCUUUUUUGAGCAAGACUGAAAUCCUGCUCCUUCCUGGUAAUGACUUCUGGUUGUGGGGACUGAAUUGUGAAAAGCGUACCUGGUCCCUGGUCCCUGGUAUUUGCUGCUCAGAAUUUGUGGUUGUGAUCUCUUUGCACUGUUUGAAGGCUGCCUAUAUUACAGGGAGAGAGGGCUCACACCAGGUUCAGUCUGAGCCAGGGGGCUGGGGGAGAAGAGUGUGAGGGGAGAAGGCCCUGAGCUAAGAUCUGGUACUGCUGCGGCUCCAGGCUAGAUAGAAUUUGGCUGCUAGUCCUGGCGGCACUCACCAGGCUCUAGUCUUCAAAGUCCCCUGUCCCCUUUAUACAAAUAAGCACUAUUCUUUCCCCUUUCAGUCCCCUGCCACUCCUCCCAAUUUCCCCUUUAUAUUAAAAGAAAAAAGCCAAGAAACAAAAAGUUCACCUCUUCUGCACCCCAGACAUUUUUUAACCCUGGUUUUCAAUCUUGAAUAUGCAACAGAACCCCCUGGCAGGUUUGUUAGCACACUAAUUGCUGGGCCCUACCCCUAAAGCAUCUACUUGGGUAGGUCUUGUAGGUCUAGUAUGGGGUGGGGCUAGAGGGGAGGGCCAGCAUUUCUAACUUGUUCCCAGGGAGUGCUGCCACCCACCUGGGAGCACCCUCUGAGAGCCAUUGACCCAGCUCCUUCCCCAUCCUGGACCUGCCUUUCCUCUGGCAUUGGGCACCCACCAUGUGCUCUGUGGCAGGCAUUUAAGAUGUUUAGGUUUGGUCCCUCCUGCGCUUUUGGUUAUUGGUUUCUCUAGACAUGAAUUCUUCCUGUUGAGUUUCUUUUGAGAUCUUUUUUCAGUUUUGAAAUCUAUUCUCCCUAAGUCAAGGAUGAAUGUCUAAAGCAAGUUUCUGCAAGUACAGUCCAAGGCCUCCAGCACUUGACUCUCCUGCUGUUCCUAUUCACAAUGUCAAGUCCUGGGCUGAUUCUAGAGCUACUGAACUGGUAGGUUGAGUAGGAGGUGGGCAGGGCUUUACGGUGAGCUCCACCCUACCCCUCCUGGGAAGGAGGCCUUUCCUUCAAGAUCUCUCUUAGCAGAGGAUUCUUGGCCAUGAAGAAAGAACAUGGUCACUUCCUCGCAAGCCUCCUGCCAUGUCUGUUUCAGGACGCAGUAGCUUAUGGGUCAGAAAUUCAUGGUAUUAUUUCCUUUCUUUCCGUUGCUUUCUGCUAAACACAGUUGCCAGCAAGAUGUCGUCAGAUGUGCAGUUUUCGGUGGAUUAGCAGAUGUCCGUGUACUGCAGAUGCCACCCCCAUCAUUCUUUGCGGCAUAUGUAUUUGGUGAUGUUAGAAAAGCAAACCCCCACAGCCACACCACCUGUACUUUUCUCUCUCAGUCCUUCUUCCCUCAAUGUACCCUCCCCCCACCAGCCACCUCCUCCUGCAGGCCCAGAGAUUCUGCCUCUGUCUCUUUGUGUGGCAACAGUGUGGUUUAUUGGCCAAGGCAAAGUAUUAUAUCAGUUUACUCAAAGAAUUGGCAAUUAAAGGGGGAGAAUUUAGAAUUUAUCCUGCCUUUCUCAUGCAAACUGUGCUUUAGGGGAACCCAACAGUCUUGAUGAAGGAAAGUUCUUUUUUUAGAGAACUAUUCCAGCUGAUAAAUGAGGACAAAAUGAUAGAUUUAAAAAACAACAUGUCAUAACCCCUCAUGAGAUAACUGAUUCAGGCAAAACUCAUCUGUGGAUGAAAUUGUCAGUUGGAAGGUUGAUGGUGGAACCUUACAAAAGAGGGGUUGGGGGGGGCGGAAUCAGGAUGGCGGCGUGAGUAGAGCAGUGGAAAUCUCCUCCCAAAAACACAUAGAGCUAUGAAAAUAUAACAAAGAAAAUUCUUCCUAAAAUAGAGA